ACAUAACUGAUGCCUCCGCGUAUCGACUUUGUGCGCAUUUUAGCUAUUAUGUGUUCUUUUAAUUAAAAUGAUUCUUUUUAAGAUUCAUCUAUUAAAAAUUUGCUUCGGCAUAAUUUUUUUUGAUGAUCUUGUUACUUUGAGUAAAUUAGAGUGUUCAAAGCAAACAGAUAUAGCAUUUGUGCGUUUGAAUACUACAGCAUGGAAUAACAAAAUUGAACAAGUCAGAAUUUUUUUGUUCUUUUUCCUUAUUUUGGCUUAGUUACGAUUAAUAGGAGUAGCUUGGGGGCAUUUGUAUUCAGAUGUCAGAGGUGAAAUUCUUAGAUUUUCUGGAGACAAACAACUGCGAAAGCAUUUGCCUAAAAUACUUCCAUUAAUCAAGAACGAAAGUUAAGGGAGUGAAGACGAUCAGAUACCGUCGUAAUCUUAACCAUAAACUAUGCCGACUAGGCUUUGGAUGAAAGAUUUUAAAAUAAGAGUUUUUCUUUUCUCUCCGGAGAUUAGAACUCUUAGAUUGCUUCCUUCAGUGCCUUAUGAGAAAUCAAAGUCUUUGGGUUCUGGGGCGAGUAUUCGCGCAAGCGAGAAAGUUAAAAGAAUUGACGGAAGGGCACCACCAGGCGUGGAGCUUGCGGCUUAAUUUGACUCAACACGGGAAAACUCACUAGUUUAAGACAAGAGUAGGAUUGACAGAUUAAUAGCUCUUUCUUGAUUUCUUGGAUGGUGAUGCAUGGCCGUUUUUAGUUCGUGAAUAUGAUUUGUCUGGUUAAUUCCGAUAACGAACGAGAUCUUAACCUGCUAAUUAGCGGCAAAUACGAUAUAUUCUUAUGUAGAAUUGAAUAUAGUGGAUUUGUUGGAUUUUGAAGAAAAUAUUGGAAUUACGUUAAAUGUGAUUCCUUUCCCUUUUCUACUUAAUUUACAUUUCCAUCUAUUUCUUUUUUGCGUAUGAAUGUAUUUGCUUGAUUGUAAAGCUUCUUAGAGGAACGAUGUGUG
rnacentral:rRNA from 1 species